UCCCUACCUUUCCACCUAAUGCUCUACACAGAACCUGAUGGCCAAAGCAAAUGCCAAGAACUUUUAUUUCCAUGGCAUCAAGAGUUUGCAAGAGGAAACAAAGCUUGAGAAUCCAAAAGUCAUUUCCAUAGGCAUCAUAAGGGCUACCACUGACUACAAACCCAUCAUAUUUAGGAAGGUCAUUCAUGUCAGGGAACUCUCCAUCAACAACCCUAAACAAAUCCCAUCUCUCACCUUCUUCACCAAAAGCUGCAACAAACACAUUGAAGUAUCCUCCAUACACCUUCUUCACAUAAUCAGAGUCUCUUGCUGCUAGCAGAAGAGCAUAUCUUUUCUCAGCUGUAACCUUCAUGAUCAUAUAUAUAUGAUGAAGAAUUCAAGAGAAGAAAUUAGAAAUAAUGGAACCUGAAGACCAAGAAAUUGGCUGAGAAGCUAGAAG
rnacentral:misc_RNA from 1 species